rnacentral:rRNA from 1 species
CAGCAGCCGCGGUAAUACGUAGGUGGCAAGCGUUGUCCGGAAUUAUUGGGCGUAAAGCGCGCGCAGGCGGUUCUUUAAGUCCGGUGUACAAGUGCGGGGCUCAACCCCGUGAGGCACUGGAAACUGGGGAACUUGAGUGCAGAAGAGGAGAGCGGAAUUCCACGUGUAGCGGUGAAAUGCGUAGAGAUGUGGAGGAACACCAGUGGCGAAGGCGGCUCUCUGGACUGUAACUGACGCUGAGGCGCGAAAGCGUGGGGAGCAAACAGGAUUAGAUACCCCGGUAGUCCCUGUCUCUUAUACA